ACGGCGAGUGAAGCGGCAAAAGCUCAAAUUUGAAAUCUGGUACCUUCGGUGCCCGAGUUGUAAUUUGGAGAGGGCAACUUUGGGGCCGUUCCUUGUCUAUGUUCCUUGGAACAGGACGUCAUAGAGGGUGAGAAUCCCGUGUGGCGAGGAGUGCGGUUCUUUGUAAAGUGCCUUCGAAGAGUCGAGUUGUUUGGGAAUGCAGCUCUAAGUGGGUGGUAAAUUCCAUCUAAAGCUAAAUAUUGGCGAGAGACCGAUAGCGAACAAGUACAGUGAUGGAAAGAUGAAAAGAACUUUGAAAAGAGAGUGAAAAAGUACGUGAAAUUGUUGAAAGGGAAGGGCAUUUGAUCAGACAUGGUGUUUUGUGCCCUCUGCUCCUUGUGGGUAGGGGAAUCUCGCAUUUCACUGGGCCAGCAUCAGUUUUGGUGGCAGGAUAAAUCCAUAGGAAUGUAGCUUGCCUCGGUAAGUGUUAUAGCCUGUGGGAAUACUGCCAGCUGGGACUGAGGACUGCGACGUAAGUCAAGGAUGCUGGCAUAAUGGUUAUAUGCCGCCCG
rnacentral:rRNA from 1 species